AUACGUAGGGGGCGAGCGUUGUCCGGAAUGAUUGGGCGUAAAGGGCGCGUAGGCGGCCUGUUAAGUCUGGAGUGAAAGUCCUGUUUUCAAGAUGGGAAUUGCUUUGGAUACUGAUGGGCUUGAGUGCAGGAGAGGUUAUCGGAAUUCCCGGUGUAGCGGUGAAAUGCGUAGAGAUCGGGAGGAACACCAGUGGCGAAGGCGGGUAACUGGACUGCAACUGACGCUGAGGCGCGAAAGUGUGGGGAGCAAACAGGAUUAGAUACCCUGGUAGUCCACACUGUAAACGAUGAGUGCUAGGUGUAAGAGGUAUCGACCCCUUUUGUGCCGGAGUUAACACAAUAAGCAUUCCGCCUGGGGAGUACGGCCGCAAGGUUGAAACUCAAAGGAAUUGACGGGG
rnacentral:rRNA from 1 species